UGUGGUGACGAUAGCGAUGAGGAUCCACCUGUACUCAUUCCGAACACAGAAGUUAAGCUCAUCUGCGCCGAAAGUACUUGACGGGCAACCGUCCGGGAGGAUAGGUUGUUGCCACAU
rnacentral:rRNA from 1 species